rnacentral:lncRNA from 1 species
CUCAGAUUUUAUCUUUUAGACAAUUAUUCUAGCUUACAUCGUCAACUCCAGAAGACAGCCAUUAGCAGUCUGGACAAGCUUGUCACUGUCCUCUGUCCUCAACCUUGUUGUAAUGAAGAGUGAGGAGACACAGGACUUCUUCUCCAGUGGAUUCAUCUGAGGUACCUGAAGAGUCCGGAAGAAGGUGUGAGAAUAUUUGGAGCCUGAGUUACAGGGGGUUGCAUGCCCCAGUUAGGACUGCUUGGAACAGAACUCAGGUCCUCUGGAAUAGCAGCAAGUGCUUAUUGGCCAUUUCUCCCUCCAGCUUUGUACUACAGGUGUGCAGUUUCCACAGAAGC